rnacentral:rRNA from 1 species
AGCGUACACGGUGGAUGCCCUGGCAGUCAGAGGCGAUGAAGGACGUGCUAAUCUGCGAUAAGCGUCGGUAAGGUGAUAUGAACCGUUAUAACCGGCGAUUUCCGAAUGGGGAAACCCAGUGUGUUUCGACACACUAUCAUUAACUGAAUCCAUAGGUUAAUGAGGCGAACCGGGGGAACUGAAACAUCUAAGUACCCCGAGGAAAAGAAAUCAACCGAGAUUCCCCCAGUAGCGGCGAGCGAACGGGGAGCAGCCCAGAGCCUGAAUCAGUGUGUGUGUUAGUGGAAGCGUCUGGAAAGGCGCGCGAUACAGGGUGACAGCCCCGUACACAAAAAUGCACAUAUUGUGAGCUCGAUGAGUAGGGCGGGACACGUGGUAUCCUGUCUGAAUAUGGGGGGACCAUCCUCCAAGGCUAAAUACUCCUGACUGACCGAUAGUGAACCAGUACCGUGAGGGAAAGGCGAAAAGAACCCCGGCGAGGGGAGUGAAAAAGAACCUGAAACCGUGUACGUACAAGCAGUGGGAGCACGCUUCGGCGUGUGACUGCGUACCUUUUGUAUAAUGGGUCAGCGACUUAUAUUCUGUAGCAAGGUUAACCGAAUAGGGGAGCCGAAGGGAAACCGAGUCUUAACUGGGCGUUAAGUUGCAGGGUAUAGACCCGAAACCCGGUGAUCUAGCCAUGGGCAGGUUGAAGGUUGGGUAACACUAACUGGAGGACCGAACCGACUAAUGUUGAAAAAUUAGCGGAUGACUUGUGGCUGGGGGUGAAAGGCCAAUCAAACCGGGAGAUAGCUGGUUCUCCCCGAAAGCUAUUUAGGUAGCGCCUCGUGAAUUCAUCUCCGGGGGUAGAGCACUGUUUCGGCAAGGGGGUCAUCCCGACUUACCAACCCGAUGCAAACUGCGAAUACCGGAGAAUGUUAUCACGGGAGACACACGGCGGGUGCUAACGUCCGUCGUGAAGAGGGAAACAACCCAGACCGCCAGCUAAGGUCCCAAAGUCAUGGUUAAGUGGGAAACGAUGUGGGAAGGCCCAGACAGCCAGGAUGUUGGCUUAGAAGCAGCCAUCAUUUAAAGAAAGCGUAAUAGCUCACUGGUCGAGUCGGCCUGCGCGGAAGAUGUAACGGGGCUAAACCAUGCACCGAAGCUGCGGCAGCGACACUAUGUGUUGUUGGGUAGGGGAGCGUUCUGUAAGCCUGUGAAGGUGUGCUGUGAGGCAUGCUGGAGGUAUCAGAAGUGCGAAUGCUGACAUAAGUAACGAUAAAGCGGGUGAAAAGCCCGCUCGCCGGAAGACCAAGGGUUCCUGUCCAACGUUAAUCGGGGCAGGGUGAGUCGACCCCUAAGGCGAGGCCGAAAGGCGUAGUCGAUGGGAAACAGGUUAAUAUUCCUGUACUUGGUGUUACUGCGAAGGGGGGACGGAGAAGGCUAUGUUGGCCGGGCGACGGUUGUCCCGGUUUAAGCGUGUAGGCUGGUUUUCCAGGCAAAUCCGGAAAAUCAAGGCUGAGGCGUGAUGACGAGGCACUACGGUGCUGAAGCAACAAAUGCCCUGCUUCCAGGAAAAGCCUCUAAGCAUCAGGUAACAUCAAAUCGUACCCCAAACCGACACAGGUGGUCAGGUAGAGAAUACCAAGGCGCUUGAGAGAACUCGGGUGAAGGAACUAGGCAAAAUGGUGCCGUAACUUCGGGAGAAGGCACGCUGAUAUGUAGGUGAAGCGACUUGCUCGUGGAGCUGAAAUCAGUCGAAGAUACCAGCUGGCUGCAACUGUUUAUUAAAAACACAGCACUGUGCAAACACGAAAGUGGACGUAUACGGUGUGACGCCUGCCCGGUGCCGGAAGGUUAAUUGAUGGGGUUAGCGCAAGCGAAGCUCUUGAUCGAAGCCCCGGUAAACGGCGGCCGUAACUAUAACGGUCCUAAGGUAGCGAAAUUCCUUGUCGGGUAAGUUCCGACCUGCACGAAUGGCGUAAUGAUGGCCAGGCUGUCUCCACCCGAGACUCAGUGAAAUUGAACUCGCUGUGAAGAUGCAGUGUACCCGCGGCAAGACGGAAAGACCCCGUGAACCUUUACUAUAGCUUGACACUGAACAUUGAGCCUUGAUGUGUAGGAUAGGUGGGAGGCUUUGAAGUGUGGACGCCAGUCUGCAUGGAGCCGACCUUGAAAUACCACCCUUUAAUGUUUGAUGUUCUAACGUGGACCCGUAAUCCGGGUUGCGGACAGUGUCUGGUGGGUAGUUUGACUGGGGCGGUCUCCUCCUAAAGAGUAACGGAGGAGCACGAAGGUUGGCUAAUCCUGGUCGGACAUCAGGAGGUUAGUGCAAUGGCAUAAGCCAGCUUGACUGCGAGCGUGACGGCGCGAGCAGGUGCGAAAGCAGGUCAUAGUGAUCCGGUGGUUCUGAAUGGAAGGGCCAUCGCUCAACGGAUAAAAGGUACUCCGGGGAUAACAGGCUGAUACCGCCCAAGAGUUCAUAUCGACGGCGGUGUUUGGCACCUCGAUGUCGGCUCAUCACAUCCUGGGGCUGAAGUAGGUCCCAAGGGUAUGGCUGUUCGCCAUUUAAAGUGGUACGCGAGCUGGGUUUAGAACGUCGUGAGACAGUUCGGUCCCUAUCUGCCGUGGGCGCUGGAGAACUGAGGGGGGCUGCUCCUAGUACGAGAGGACCGGAGUGGACGCAUCACUGGUGUUCGGGUUGUCAUGCCAAUGGCACUGCCCGGUAGCUAAAUGCGGAAGAGAUAAGUGCUGAAAGCAUCUAAGCACGAAACUUGCCCCGAGAUGAGUUCU